GCUUUGGUAGCUUCAGGUGGAAUGACCUGGCCCUCCAUGAAUGAGUGUUGAGGUUGGACACACGGCUGCCACUUCUCUGUACUGCUCCCCACAGCUUAGCCUCAUCUGCAAACUUCGGAGGGAUCAGUCCAUAUGAGUACAUAUGUGUUGUCAGUAAAUAGACUUUUCCAGAGCUGCCAGUAUCAGCUGGUGCUCUGUGCUUGUGCUUCUCUUUGGCUCUCUCUGCCUCCUGGUCCCAAAGGCUCUUGGCGUGGAUAUGGGGAUAGCCAGCUGUAUUGAAAAAGGAUGACUACACAACAAAAGAAGAAAGGUGAGGGUCACCUUCAAGGGGAAAGGGUUGAGUUCUGGCCACUGAUUUGCUGAGUGACCUUUGACAAAUCGCUGUACCUUGCUGGUCUCCUAAAUGGGGUGACCAUGGGAGCAGAUUCUCCACGUUCUGGACUUGGCACUCUUCUCAUCUGACUGCACAGUAUGUUUUGGGGUUCUCAUCUACCACCACCCAGGGCUGAUGGCUCCCAAAUCUAAGUUCUGGCCCAGACUCCUUUCCCCAGGUCCACACUCAUGUGUUCAACCAGUUGUUGGACAAUUCCUCUGGGCUUUCCCAAAGGCCCCAAAUUAAACUAAUCUUCUUCUUGUUUAAAUCAAACAAAUUUAAACAAAUUAAAUUAAUUUUCCCUGCAAACCUCUUCCGCUUCCUUUUUAUGCCAUGUCUUGGGGAAUCACAUCACCAUGUCAGGAAUCUUAUGUCAUUCCUUCCUCCCCUACCUUUGCACCUGAGAUCCUAGUGGUCACCAAGUCCCUUCUCUCCUGUGCAUCCCCCUCCUUGUAUUCCCACCACUACUGCCCUAGUUGGCACCUCAUUAAUUCCCACUGGAAUCACUGCAAAUGCUUCAUAACUGAUCUUUCUAUCUGACUUCAUUCUCCACACAUCCUGCAGCAUGAACUUUUUGAAGCACAGAUUUGUGAAUGCCUGUGCUCUGCUUAAAAGCAAUCAGAGGCCCCUCACUAAUAAGGAAUGAAAUUCAAACUCCUGG
rnacentral:lncRNA from 1 species